AACACUGUUAACCUGCGGUACCUGCGGAGGGAUCAUUAUUGAAUAAACUUGGUCAAGCUGUUGCUGGUCCUUCGGGACAUGUGCACGCUUGCCACCAAUUUUAACCACCUGUGCACUUUUUGUAGACUUGGAAACGUUUCUCGAGGCAACUCGGAUUGAGAGCUGCUGGCGCAAGUCGGCUUUUCUUAUGUUUUCUCAGUCUAUGUUUUCAUAUACACCUAAUGUAUGUAUCAGAAUGUA
rnacentral:misc_RNA from 1 species